UGUGUAUGUAUGUGUGUGUAUAUAAUAUAUACACAUACAUACAUGCAUACAAGCAUGCAUACACAUAUGUAUAUAUAUCAAUAAAUUUAUUGAAAAAAAAAGAAAAAGUUACCUUUUGAUCAAUCAAAACUAUCUCCUUUAAUUGUUUUUAUAGUGUCUUUAGCAUGUCUCUUUUAUUUUAUUUCCUAGUGUUCCAUUUUAUGUAUGGGUAUAUGUAUUUGUAAAUACACAUACACAUAUAUAUGUAUAAGCUUUUACUUUUGUUUAAUAUUUGUUUAUUAUUAUUAUCAUCAUUAUUAUUAUUAUCAUCAUUAUUAUUAUUAUUAUUAUCGUUAUUAUUUUAUUACUCCUAAUAUUACCUAUUUUGUUCACAAACCACUUCAUUCCAUAUUCACCUUUACUGUUGAACACAUCACAUUUACAUUCAGCUAAUGGCACAUUUACAAAGCUGCGAUAGUAAAGAAAAAAUCUGCUUAUUGCCAUCUGUGCCACCACCCUGCGUCACUUUCCUUCAUUCACUUACAUGCAUGAUCUCAGUUGCUCAUGCAUGCACCCACCUCUUUCGACGCAUAUCCCUAUCUCUUACACAGAAGCAAUGGUCCAAUCCAUUAUGUUCCUAUUUUGUUGCAAGUUGAUAAGAACAGUAAGAACAAUAUUAUGUCACAUAGUUAAGGCAGUAAGUAUCAGCUAAUGACUAGUAGGAGUACACAGUUUUAAGUUCAUAAAUAUGAAACAUCUCUGCAUGUGCAAGUGAGCAUGUGUGUGAGUGUAGAUUCUAUGGUUGUAAGGACUAGCAGGAGAGCAUUAAGUUUGGUCAUUUCUUGUGGUGGUGGGGGACAAUUCACCAGCAACAAAUCCAGCUUUAUUAUCCAGAAGGAAAUUCAUCUCUUCUUUGUAAUACUGCAGGAACAAUAUGGUUCAUAAACAGGUUCAUGUAGUAUGGAAAGUAGUACGUUUGGGUGGGUACAUAGCAUAUUUAAUACCUCAGUAUUUAAUCAAAGAAAAAAAGAAACAAAACAAAAAACACUUAUUUCUCUAUCCAAUUUUUGUGUUUUGAUGUAUCAGUAUUAUCACUAUUCAGAUAUUAGCUAGUUAAAAAUGAAACAUUAAUUAGUCACUUGGAUUACCAUGUUAGUUAAAAAAUCAGCUUUGGUUAAUUACUUCUAUGGAAAGGAUCAAAACGGUUAAUAAUUGUUCUGUAUAGCUCUCAGUAUCUACUGUGGAGUCUUCUAGUCAUUACAGAGCAGUUUUUUCUAAUUGUGUAACACUGUAGCCAUAGAUUGGUUAAUCAAAAUUUUCACUGUUGGAAGUUCAGAAGCAGCCAAGAGAUGAAACAUUAGUUUUCUUUGAUGUACUUCAGGAAGUACAAGUAUUGCUGGGCCUUCACUGAGAUCACGAUAAGUAGUAAAUGGAUGCCAAAUACCUUGAAACUGUGGAUCCUUUGAUGUCUUCAGGGAGUACACACACUGCUUAGUCUUCACCAGGAUCAUGAGAGCUUGUCUGUUAUAUGGAUGCCAAAGAACUUGAAGCAAUGGAAACUUUGUACCAUACCAUUGAUAACACACCUGAGAAUAUGUGCACUGUCUCUUAUCUGCCUUUUUAUUUGAUCUUCUUCAUGUUCCAGGGCUAAGGAAUUGUGAGCAUACUAUGGUUACAGAUUUCCAGCACCUUGUCUUUUAAGGUUAGUGGUUCUCAACCUAAUUUGAGAUACCACAUAGAAAGUUAUUGAAAGCAUCAAAGACCUCUGAUGUGCAAAAAUUUGAUUUCUCUAUAAUAUUUACUAGAAUGCCAUUUACAUGCAGACCAAUAUUUUCUGCUUCAGUUUGUAAAUUCUGGCUUCAACUUUUCAUAGAUUUAUUUUAUUCUUAAAUUUUGUUUUAACCACAACUUUUACAGAAUUUUUUAAGGUGAAAUUUUCUUUGUAUCCUCCUUAAGUUAUCUCUUGUUCUCACAAUUACUACAAUUACUACACCAUCUCAUUGAAAACCACAACUCUUGACUGAGUUAUCACCAUCGAUCAAACCUACUAGGUGAGGGUUUUCCACAAACUUUGAUAUUUAUCAAGCAGCUGUAAACAGGGGCACAUUGACAGAUGAAUAUAGCAAAAAAGUGUAAUGCAGUUUUAUUCACAUCUCUGGGGACACUUCACUGAUUAGGCUAAUUAAAAACCAUUAUUAAUUUGAAGCCCGUUUGUGGCAAAUUUCAAAACUCGGUUGCUCCAUUUCAGUUUGGUUUUGACCGGUCCAGUGGUGUUGGAAUGGCAUGCUGCAACAGUUGUAGUUAACUAUAGUAUUCAAUCUUUGGUAUCUUUAGCAAACAAUGCAUUUUUGCACAUGUAUUGCCUCUGUUCUUAUUGGCUACUGCUGUUCUAUCAGGCCCACAUGAAUACACAUGUACACAAGCACAUCUUGAGAGAUAUGCAUACAAACCACACAUCUCUUACACACCAUCCAGCUACAUGCACAAAUGCAUAUAUUAUUCCUUCCCCUCUACACAUCUCUCAUCUACAGAAACAAAGAAAUGGAAAAUGAUGGAAAUUUUUUCAAGAUUUAUUUUUUUUUGUUAUUAUAUUUUAUUUUACUCUUUUUCUUUCUAUUUUUUCCUAAAAAAAACCAAAAAACAAACCUAACAAAAUUCUUUUAAUCUCUUAUUUCUUUGUGCGUGUGUAUUCCCACCCCCUGUAAAUACUUAAAUAUAUAUAUAUAUUUAUUACUGUCUUGUGGUUUCAAGGGCCAUGCUAUGUGAAAACAAAGAAAGAAAAAAAAAGAGCAAAAAACAAAAUAAAACAAAAGUCAAAUAAAAAAGAAACCAAAAAAGACAAAGCUACUUUGUUGGGGUGGGGAGAGGAGACUCAUAAGCAACUCUUUCAUUCCAAAGAACAAAUGUUGUUACUACUACUACUACUACUACUUGUGUUAAUGGCUAUUAUGUUUUCUUAUUUGGGAAUGCGAAUUUUAGGGGGAGGGAGAAAAUGGGAAGUUCUGACAUUCGUGCCUUUCCAGCCCUCUUCCAUUUCCCUCUUCCUGUCCAUUUCUGAGGGCACUAAACACUAAUGUGGGGCUAGGGAACCGUUCCGAUUUUCACUUAACUUAGGCCAAGGUGGUGAGUGGGGCAGGGGCAGGUUUAAUCGAAGACGUAAGAUAGAGAGAGAGAGGGGCUUUUGUUACAUGGGUGUGCGCCUGUUGAGGUCUCUUACUCAUGUUGGGUUGGUGGGGGGGGGCAGUCGUGGACUUCAUUUGACAUUAAAACAAAAUAAAUUAGCACUAUACACACAUGUACACAUACUACAAUAUGCGCCUCCUACAUGAUUACGAUGAUGAUAAAAUGAUUUUUUUUUUUGUUUUUUAAUUUUGUGGGAUGGUGGUGGAGGAGACAGUAGUAGCGAAUUAAAUAUUUGAAGAGAACCAAAUAUUGGGAAUAAGACUGGUGGGGAUAAGAAUUUAAAAAAAAUAAUGAAAAAAAAAUGGAAAAAGACAAAAGAAAUAUAUUUAAAAAAAAAACGAAUUUGAAAUUUAAAAACAAAACACAAUAAAAAACAAGGCCAAAUGAUUAAUAAUAAUAAUAAUAAUUAUCAUUAUAUUGAUAAUAUCUAUUUAAAAAAAAAAGUUGGAAAUAAAAUAAAAAAAAAAAAAUGAACAUCCAAAGAAAAGACAUUUUUCUUUCAAUGAUCCUGAACCUUGCUAAGAGGUUGUCAUCAUCACAUUCGAUGAUGACAAUAACAGUUUGUGUAGUUUGUGGAAGUUUUAUCUUUGUUUUAAUUAUUUUCUUUUUUUUUUUUAGUUUUGAUUGAAUAAUAAUAAAAAAGGAAGAAAAGAUGAAUAAUCAAAAAAAAAUUAAAAUUAAAACUCCAUAUGGCUCUCUGUUUUCUGUAUUGCUAUUAUAUAUAUAUAUAUAUAUAUAUAUAUAUAUAUAUAUAUAUAUAUAUAUUUAUAAACUAUUUUUGUUGUGUCUCUCUUGUUUUCAUUUUUUCUUUUUACCCUUCAGUUUUGAUCUUUAUCUCCUUAUAUUCGUGUUUCCAUUAUACUUUUAUCUAUGAUAAAGGUCGAUAUAAAUUUUGUGUUUUUUUAAAUAUUUCAUUGCAAUAUCAAUAUUCUUUCUGAUCCCACAUAUAUAUAUAUAUAUAUAUAUAUAUAUUAUAUAUAUAUGUGUGUGUGUGUCAUAUGGUCUUUUGUAAAUUCAUUGCGGAAAUACAUCGCAGUAAAUACACCGAAUGGAAUUACAUUGCAGUAGAUAUGGCAACUGGAAUUAAUAUGCAUUGCAGUAAAUAUGAUUGGAAUUUCACAGCUUAGUAAUUUCAUUGUAAGGUAACUACCAAUACUUUUAUUUUUUUAUCUUUUACUGUGGCCAUGCUGAGGCACCACCUUGAAGGGUGUAGUUGAAUGCAUUGCCUCUAGUGCUUGUUUUUUGUUUAUAAGCCUGGUACUUAUUCUACUCGUCUCUUUUUGCUGAAUCAUCAAGUCAUAGGAUGUAAAUAAACCAACACUAGUUGUGAAGCACUGGUGGAGGACAGACAGACACGCGCGCGCGCGCACACACAUAACGUACAGAGGGGGAGCAUAUACAUAUAAUUACAUAUGUGAAGGCGCAUGGGUUAGUGCUUAGGCUGUUGCACUCGCAAUUACUACAUUGUUGGUUUGAUUCCUAAACUGAGCAGCAUGUUGUGUUCUUCAGCAAAAUACUUCAUUUCAUGUUGCUCAUGUCUCCUUUUGAUCAUGGAGGAAUGUUGGCCUGCUUGCCUAGCCAGCGGGUUACAAUAAGAAAAAGAGUGCAUGAAAGCGCAGUGUGAUCAGUGGUGUGUAACAUCUGAUAGCCUGGUUGGCCACAUGGCGAUAUACAUACAUACAUACAUACAGGGUGUCCAUAAAGUCCCUUUACAAUAUUUAGAUAAAAGUUUGGAAGUUGUAAAGAUAAUUUAUGGACACCCUGUAUAUAUAUAUAUAUGUAUAUAUAUAUGCACAUACACACACACAAUGCACCACUUAGGGUUUAUAUCUACCAAAUCUACUCACAAGACUUUGGUUGACCCAGGAUUGUAGUAGAAGACAGUUGCCCAAGGUGGUAUACAGCUGGACUGAAUCUAGAACCCUGUGGGUGCAAAGCACACUUCUGAUCAUGCCUAAUUUUUGUUUAUCUGUAGAAUUAAUGUUUAGAUAAACAUUAAUUCGUUUUUUCGUUUUGAAAUGUAUAUGUAUAAUGUCAAUUUGUCCCAUUUUAUUAAUAUUAAAAAAGAAAAUCAGAUAUUAAAAAAAAAUUCCAACCUAAAACAUUUGGAAAGUUUUAGAAUUCUUUGAAGAGAACACUCAAGACAUGAACUAAUAAUCAUAGUUAUGUCAUCAAUGAGAGUGCAUGACCUGGUGGUUAGGGGUGUUGGACUCGUGAUUGCUAGAUUGUGAUUUCAAUUCCUAGACUGUGUUGUGUGUUAUGUUCUUGAGCAAACGACUUCAUUUCACAUUGCUCUGUGAUCACUUUGACACUGACGUGUGGUACACAGUGUAUCUGUUCAGACAAUGUCGAUUUGAUGGAAAGAGUGAGCUAAUGUGUAGCAUGAACAUUUUCAUUGCUAUAAACAAAUCAUUUGUGCAGGUCAUUCGGCAAAAAGCUGAACUCUUAUAUGUUGCCUUCAACAGGAGAGUCCAUCAUGUCAUCAAUGCAGAAAUUAGCUCAUUGUCAAAAUGAAAUACAGAAUAGCAAAUACUGAACAACUGAUUGGAAAUCAACUCCCGAAAUAAUGAAUUAAUUUAAGAAGCAUUGGUCUAUUUUGAAUCUUUUUUUCCUUUUUAGAAUUUAUAAUUGUUACUAUUUUGUGUGUGUGUGUGUGUGUGUGUGUGUGUUAUAUUUUUGAAAGCAGCUUUGGGUUUUUUUUUUUUCAUGUAUUUAUUAAGUUAAUCUAACAGGGCUUUCCUUUUGUCUUUGAAUUUCUAUUUCAAUGUUAAUGAAGUGCAGUGUCUUUAAUCUGUGAUUAAAAACUUACAUUAGUAAAGUUAUGUUUAGUCAUAGCUAUGUGGUUAAGAAGUUUGCUUCACAAUUACAUGAUAUUUCUGGUUCAGUCACACUGUAUCACUUGUAGGAUGUGAGUAAAUAUGGGAAACAGAAACCCUGCAGAAGCCCAUUAUGUAUGUGUGUAUCUGUAUAUAUGUAUGUAUUGGCAUGUAUCUUUCUGUUUGUUCCUCUACUGCUUGUCAACUGGUGUUGGUUUGUUUGUGUCUCUGAGAGUAGAUGGUUCAACAAGAAAGAGACUGCUUGAGUAAGUACUAAACUUAAUGAGUUCUGGGUGUGCUGGGGUCAGUUUAUUUGAUUCAACCAUUCAAGGCAGUAGUCUCACGUGGCUUACAUUGCAAUGUCUGAAUCUGAUAAAUAAUAAUGUAAAAUGAUGUUUUUACUCAGAAUAAAAAUGGGAUGAUGAAUUCACUAAAGCACUAACAGUGUAUUGGCUUACAAUGUAAUUAUCUUAUGGAAUUCCAGGUAGUAUAUUUACUGCAAUUUAAUUACCCACAAUGAAUUUACUAGACACUAUAUAUAUAUAUAUAUAUAUAUAUAUAUAUAUAUAUACACAUACAUACAUGCAUAUACAUAUUUGUGGCAUCUGAUUAAUUAUACACACAUACACAAACAUGUAUAAAGUCAUUUGAUUCAUUCCAGGACCUUGUGUGUUGAUUGUUAAAUAAAACGGCUUUUUGCAGAAUUAA